CCUACGGGUGGCAGCAGUGAGGAAUAUUGGUCAAUGGGCGCGAGCCUGAACCAGCCAAGUAGCGUGAAGGAUGACUGCCCUACGGGUUGUAAACUUCUUUUAUAAGUGAAUAAAGUGCGGCACGUGUGCCUUUUUGUAUGUACUUUAUGAAUAAGGAUCCGCUAACUCCGUGCCAGCAGCCGCGGUAAUCCGGAGGAUCCGAGCGUUAUCCGGAUUUAUUGGGUUGAAAGGGAGCGUAGAUGGGUUGUUAAGUCAGUUGUGAAAGUUUGCGGAUCAACCGUAAAACUGCAAUUGAUACUGGCAGGCUUGAGUACAGUUGAGGUAGGCGGAAUUCGUGGUGUAGCGGUGAAAUGCGUAGAUAUCACGAAGAACUCCGAUUGCGAAGGCAGCUUACUAAACUGCGACUGACAUUGAUGCUCGAAAGUGUGGGUAUCAAACAGGAUUAGAUACCCUAGUAGUC
rnacentral:rRNA from 1 species